ensembl:lncRNA
CCGCCGCCGACGGUCCCGCACCGCUUCCGGCAGCGCUACGGCGCCACCUGGCGGCGGAAUCGGGCGGGCGGAGCGGGGAUCACCGCGCUUCUGGUCUCCAGAGCCAAGGAAAGAGCAGCCAUCGGCACUCACGAGACUCUUAUUUUGCCUUGCCCGGAGUAACAGCGCCUGACCGUUUCCAGAAGUUUGUCCUCGUGUUUUCAUGGCCGUGCCGUGGGAGGACUGCACGCAGCUAUAAUUCUUCAGGAUUCUGUCACAGAGUCAUAGAAUCAUUGAGGUUGGAAAAGACCACGAAGAUCAACUACCCCAACCAUCAGUCCGUCAACCUCACCAUGCCCACUGACCACGUCCCUCAGUGCCACAUCCACACUGUUCUUCAACACCUCCAGUGAUGGUGACUGCACCACCUCCCUGGGCAGCCUGUGCCACUGCAGCACCGCUCUUGCUGAUAAGAACGUUUUUCCUAAUAUCCAACCUGAACCUCCUCUGGCUCAACUUGAUGUCAUUACCUCUGGCUCUAUCACUGUUACCUGGGAAAAGAGGCCAACCCCCACCUCACCGCAUCCUCCUUUCAGGUCACUGUAGAGAGUGAUGAGGUCUCCCCUGAGCUCCUCUUCUUCAUACUGAACAACCUCAGCUCCCUCAGCAGCUUCUCAUGAGACUUGUGCUCCAGACCCUUCACAGCUCCAUUGCCCUUCUCCUGACAGUUCAGGGCCUCAAUGUUUUAUUGGAAAGGUAAAAAAAUAUAUAUAUUCUCAGUUACCUUCAGAGCUUCACAGGUGACAGUGCUGUGCACCACAUCCUUGCUGCAUGUUAUAAAGGUUAUUAAAUUUACUGUGCCCUCCAUGGUAACUCACUCUGUUAGUGUCAGUAUGAAGAAGCUUCCAGCCAAGGUUUCAUCACCUGUUGUGCACUGCCAACAUUUUCUCCUCAUAAGUGUGGUCUUCCAUCAGUGUGCCAAAGUACCGCCCUGGAGGAAAAUAAUCUUUAGUGACUUGCUGGUACUUCCCUCACCUCUACCACAUGUUCAAGCAUAGAGCUAUUAAUGCUGGUAGGGAACACCUCCCUGACACUCACUGCUGUCACAUUAUGACAGUGGAAGUGAUGGUCUGAGUUUCUGGGUGAACAAACUGAGGUUUGCCUUGAGAAUUCAGCUAUGUGUGCAGGUUAUGAAAACAAAAACAUUCAUUCUUGUAAAUAAUAAAGACAUAGAUACAGAAAUUGACUAAAAUGUGCUUAAGAUAUCAAGCUGGGAGACAGAACAUCGAAGUCAAGUAGAAUAUAAUUCAAGAAAAACUGUAUGACUUCAAGGCCUGAAAUAAUAAUUAGUAGAGAGUGAGAGGUGGUGCAUUUACACAGAGUGCUACAUAUUCCCAUGUAACACUAAUGUGAUAAAACCAUUAAGAGCCAAGUAAUCUUCAUAGAAAUUCGUAAGGUAUCAGCCAAGGUAUUCCUGUAGAUAAAUGGAUGUAAAUUGUACAGGUCAUGUACAAAUGAUGAUGAAAUUGUGUCUGUCUUCAUAAAAUACUCAUGUUCAAGUAAUAUACAUCUAAACUGGAACAUAUGUACAAAAAGGAACAAUAAGACCCAGCCUUCUGAUGAGACACUAAAAGGGUUCCGUGUGUUCACAUUAUAUGAACGGAGAUCAGAAUGUAACUUAAACUGAAUUCUGUGGUGUCUCCACAUGAAAGAGAAAGAAAAACAUAGAAAGAAAAAGAAUAAAAGAGAAAAAUGAAUAAAAAAAGGAAAAGAAACCAGGAGAUGUGUACACAUUCAAAAAUCAGACAUUGGGUCAGGGACCUUACAACUUUUCAUCUGGCUUUAUUAGCAUGUCUCUAGCAGGGCAGAGCUUGGGACAAAUUCCUUUUCACAUUUUAUCUAAUUCAAUGCUUAGAUGGUUUUUCUUCCAGGUAACUAUCUUCUUAUUUUUGUCCAAGGAUGGGUUACAUAACUUUCUUAAUAUUCCCCAAUUGCUCUACAAGAAGAUUAACCUAUAUAUUCUGCUUGGAGCAAUAAAUUCCACUAGGUGUCAGGGUAACUAAAAAUUACAGGCUGCAAUUAUAAUUAAGCAUAUACUUAAGGGCCUUGCCAAAUCACUACCUGUGUAAACCCAUGGACUCUUAGAAUAAUCUAGAUAACUGUACUUGUAUUUGUACUAGCUUGAAGAUGCAUGUAGCAACACUUAAAGCAAAGUCACACCUUUCAUUGAAUAUGAAGUAAUCUGACUAAAAGUCAAAUAAUUAUAAAGCAUAUUUCCUCUGGUUUCUGAUUUUUCUGCAAGUUGCCUUCACCAUCUUCUAUAUCUUAAAUCUCAGCAUGCUCUCUGAAGUCUAUAGUUAACUCUUCUUUUCAAGAUAGGGGUAAGACCUAUUUUCAAAUGAAAGUACUUAUUGGUUCUUUUGAAUGAGACUGAAGAUCCUGUAAGCCUCGAGCUGUUGCUAUUCUUCCUCUCCUACCCUAGGAAAAUAGGGUACUGCUCACCCUUUUGUUCUCUUAGAAAAGCUGAAGUAUUGUGGAGUGAUUUUUCCUCAAAUCUUUACAUUUUUAUUUACUGGAAAGGGAGAAGAGUAAGAGCUUAUCAUGUGAGGCAAUAACGUAAUUAUCUGUUUUGAGACAGGACCAAGAGCAAUCAACUUAAACGCUUAAGCAUCUCUGUUAGCCAAGAAUAAUAUUCACUGCACACUCCUCAAAUCUUGCUCUAAAGAAAAGAGAAUUAACAUCCUCAAAGGCUUUCAGUGUUCAUCGCUGUACAGUCUGUUCUGCAAGCUUGGAUAUAUCUUGGAGCGUCUUUGUGAAGUUGUGUUAUCAAGCACAAAGGCAGAGAUAAAACUCUGCAAGCUUUAUGCGUUCUACUUUAGGACUAAUUUUUCACAGUACAGGAGCUAAGCAGCAAUACUCUGAAGGCUCAGCAUUUUGCUCUUAGACGCUUCAUCUACAUUUGUGAAUGCUCAGAACUUCUGAGCAGUGUGCCAAGUCAGACAACAAAAAUAAAGUACAGAAUGGUGAUGACUUACCCAUGGAAAGUUUGUGUGAAGUGAUUUGGCCAACAUUGUGUAAGUUGUGCAUGAUAGGCUAAUUUAUAUUCGCCUAUUGUAAUUAGGCAUCCAUUCCUGGCCCACUCACAACAGGUCUCUUGCAAAAGAAAUGUGAAAGAUCUGCACAGUUGUGAACGGGUUCACCCAACGCAAUUGAAGGAUGGAGGGGAGAAAAAGUGACCAGACAUUUCAGCUUUAACUCAGUUGUAAUGCUCAGGAAGCCUUUAACUUCUGAGUUUCUGCAUUCUUAACAAUGUUUCAAUGUAUGUACUUUGUACAAAUAUUUUAUUUCCUACAUAAAACUACAUUGUUAUACAGAAUAGCAGUCGACUACACAAAACAUAGAACAGACGUCAUUCCACCUGCAGCCCUCCUCUACAGCUCCUCACCAAAGCCUAUUAAGGUUUUUCUCUGCUGCAGUUGCAUGUUCAUCUACUAUGUUAACAUACUUAAGGACUUGCUCCUCUAGGAAGUCAUUUCUUUUCCGAUGCUCCUGGGAACCAACAGAGGAUGUUUUAGAGGGGUAGGGCCUUAACAGCAGUCAAAUCAUACUGGUGAAUUUGUCAGUACUUUGAAGAGCUGUAUUAUUACUUUCUCUGGAAAGGAGAUGAGAGACAACAGUAGGGUGUUCUAGGACUUCUAUGUCCUUCCCCCAAAAUACAUGUUAAUAUACUAAUAUACUAAAUUUAAUCAUCUAUGCUUCUGAAGCCCUCUUUAAAGCAGGAACCUCGGGCAUAUUGGGAUAAGUAGUUCAGUACAGCACAGUGAAUUUGUUAGCUUUACUAUCUAUCAAUACAGUGAUUAAAUCAUCAUCAGUCACUCAGGACAUCUUGAAUGGACUAUCAUCUGCUCUCCAGAAUUUAGGCUUUUAUUAAAGCGAAAAUCACCUGUAAAGUUUUGGAUUCAUUCACAGUAAAACCCCUCAUAACAACUGAGAACUUGGUCAUUUAAACUGGAAGACGGAAGCUUUAGAUGUAUUAGAAAGAAAUUCUCUCCUGUGAGGGUGGUGAGACACUGGAACAGGUUGCCCAGGGAGGUUGUGGUUGCCCUCUCCCUUGAGGCAGUCAAGGCCAGGCUGGACGGGGCUUUGAGCAGCCUGGUCUAGAGGGAGGUGUCCCUGCCUAUAGCAGAGGGUUGGACCUACAUGAUCUUAAAAGUCCCUUCCAACCCAAACCAUUCUAUGAUUGUAUAACACAACAGAGUAAAAUAACAGUCACCAGUCUGUAUUCUCUUGUUCAGAAGAAUCCUGUUUUGUCUCACUGUUUACAGAGAUCAUAGAAUCAUAGAAUCAUGGAAUGGCCUGGGUUGAAAAGGACCACAAUGAUCAUGUAGUUUCAACCCCCUGCUAUGUGCAGGGUCGCCAACCACCAGACCAGGCUGCCCAGAGCCACAUCCAGCCUGGCCUUGAAUGCCUCCAGGGAUGGGACAUCCAUAGCCUCCUUGGGCAACCUGUUCCAGUGUGUCACCACCCUCUGUGUGAAAAACUUCCUCCUAGUAUCUAACCUAAACCUCCCCUCUCUCAGUUUAAGACCAUCCCCCCUUGUCCUAUCACUAUCCACCCUCAUAAACAGCCACUCCCCUUCCUGUUUACAUGCUCUCUUCAAGUACUGGAAGGCCACAAUGAGGUCUCCCCAGAGCCUUCUCUUCUCCAAGCUAAACAAUCCCAGUUCCCUCAACCUUUCCUCAUAGGAGAGGUGCUCCAGCCCUUUGAUAUCUUAGUGGCCCUCCUCUGGACCCGCUCCAAGAGCUCUAUAUCCGUCCUGUACUCAGGGAGAUCUUUGUCUUUGAUAAGACUCUCUCCCACAGAGAUCACCCCCCCUCCCCAAGAGGUCAGCGUCAGUUUCUGGAAGAUGAUUUUAGACCCUGAUGUUGUACAUUGUAGUGAAUUAUCUCUAAAUUAGUUUGUAGCUCCAUGAGUGUAUGCACUCUCAUUAACUGCACCCAGUGAGAUUUCAUUCAGUACUGAAAAAAAAAAAAGAAAGUUUAAAUUUGAAAAUCCUGCUGAGGAGUGACUGCAUUGCUCCCUACAGCUACCUGAAAAGACACUGCAGUGAGGAGGGUGUUGAUCUCUUUUCUCAGCUGGCAAGUAAUACUGAUGUUAUUGCACUUCUACGGAACAGGAGCAGUUCUCCUAUUUUUAUUUCAUAUUCUUUCUGAUCUCAUUAGAGAUGCUUGGAAAGGAAAGAGUCUUGUGUUGUGCCAGAAAAGUUUUAGACUGCAUAUCAGGAAGAAUUUCUUCAUGGAGAAGGCAUUGGAGUAGGCUGCACUGGGAAAAAAAAAAGAAAUGGAGUUGUCAUCCUUGGAGUCUCAUCAGAGUUGCUAAGGAGCACAAAUCUUUGUAACUGAAGAGCCAUGGAGGACACUGGCAGAGGCCGAAUAAGGAUGAAGAACACUGUUACAACUGGGGAAAAAGAAAAAAAAAAUCUCAAAAGGGAUCAGCCAAAAUAUUUAGGUUUUGUAAAAUUACAUUUUGUUUGUUAGAUUUGUAUCAACUUGAAACAAACAGUUCAGUCAUAAAGAGGUUUCACAACGUUACCCUGAAGCAUUUGUAACUGAUCUCUGGGGCUAUUUUAAAGGUUGGUGUCAUGGAACUCAGAAGAAAGUUUAUGGAAGGGGCAAACACUAAGGCCAACUAUGUGCUGAGUAAGCUUGGUAUAAACAGGAAGAGAUAGUUGAAAAUCCCAGAUUUAGCAAUAUGCUGUGGUAGAGACAGACCAAUCAACAUCCUGAAACUGAUCAGUGAUCUCAGUUCUGGAAAAUCUAGUUUAAUGUAUGAAAAUAAGAUCUGCUUUUUGAGGGAAAAAAAAAAAAAAAAAAGAAAAGAAGAAGAAGAACAAUAUUUUUAAUAGACUUUUCUAGCACCAACCAAAUCCACUCAGUUUAGAAUCUGUUUUCUUUCAUUCCUUUGCAUCCUGGCUGAAAGUAAGGUGAUGAAUUUCAUGACUUCCUUUCCUCCUCAGCAAACAACUGUGUUCUAAGUCAUAGUCACUUACUGUGUCCUACUAAGAAACCUUCAAAAGCACUUCUCUCAGAUGACAAAGCUGUGUAAAAAGCUACCAUUUUAUUUUGAAUGAUUGCCUUUCCCCUGAAAACAUGUUCUGUUUUUUGUUUGUUUGUUUGUUUGUUUGUUUUGUUUUCCCCCUAAAAAUGCAGUGUUAAAUUAAAAUGAUAGCUACAAAUUCACACACUACCGGCUUCAGGAUGUUGACUACUUCAUUCAGAGCACAAAACCACCGCAGAAUGACUCAUCUGCAGCUAAAUAAUCUCUCUCUCUUGUCACUGGUAGCCCACAGCAGUCUGCAGCUUGUGCUUUCCGGAAGCUAAGAUUUACCCCAUUAAUGCCUUUGUUUUGAAAACCAUCACUUUUAAAGCUAUACAACAAAAAUAGGGAGUAAGUGAAUUAAAAACAUACCUUUUGAGAUCUAAUCUUCUCCAGAAAUUCUGGACUAAAGUUUACUCAAUCUCAGUCUUGUUGGGAGAUAUCAGUCCAAAUCUGACUACUCUCAGAUAGAAAACUAUACAGCUGUAACUCAAGAGUUACCUCUCCUACUUCUUAAUGGACUUUGCAAUAGUUUUGACAUGUCUGCUCUUUUUUGAGAGUGGAGAAGACUUUAUCUGUUUUGUGGUUAGACAUCUGGUUAGAUAUAGCAGUCUAGCUAACCAUAUAGGAAACCAAAACAAACUGAGCAAUAUAAAGUAUAUUUUCUCAUCUUCGGUAGUACCUGACAACUAUGUUGAAACAUACUGCUUGUCUGAAAUAUUAAUGCAAUAUCAUAAAUCCCUCACAGCAUAACUGAUUGCAGAUUGCUGUUUUUAUUGCCAUUCCUGAAUAUAUAUCACAUGUGAGAAUAGAUUAUACGUGCUUCUGUUACUGAGAAGGUUGCAGAACUUUGACAUGUGACUAAGAAUGAAGGGAAGAGGUACCACAAGCCAACCUGAACCCUUCAUAAAGCCUUCUGCAGAAGUCACAGGUAGUGUUUCCAAUUCCUCCUGUAAAUGUCCAAUUGUGGCAGAACCUAUGUCUGGCAACUUCUUUGCUUUUUCCAGCCAUUAACAUCUUUACCAUAGUGCUGCCCAGCUGCCACAUAACUACUGCACCUUCUUCACCCUAUUUAACCACCCACUGCUUUUCUUUAAGCAACAAACUUCCUCUUCUCCCUCUGUUCCCUGGGAAGAUGUAGUUUUGCUUAGGAGCAGCCCUAAGUCUGUGAAUUCCAAAGGAUAUGUUGUUACAGAGGAUCUCUCUAGAUAUCUGGAUCUAGUUACUUGUAUAUAAGCCCCAGAAAUAAUCUCUAAAUUCAAAUUAUAAGGCCUUGUUUUUGUAUUAUAAACGUUCUCCUCUCGCAGAUGUUUUAGAGCUUUUUGUUUCUCUUUUACACUGGAAACACUCUCAAGUUUAAGGAAAAGGUGAAACCACAAGGAGCUAUAAGUAUUUAUAUAUGUAUAUAUAUCUAAUUGUGUUCCCAAUUUUAUUUGGGGCUUUUGAAUGUCUGUGCAUUACAGCCAGAGGAUGCCUGGGACAGAUUUUUUACUCACAUUUAAAAAGUACAUAUGAUGUCAGAGAAAAAUCACUUGGUCUUGCUGUAGUGUUUGCUAAAGGAUUGUCAGGUGUUGGUAAUAAUUUUUAAGCAUUCAACGAUCAAGGCUGCUGAAAUACUAACAGUUUUAUUCCUUGUGCUUCUGUAUAGCAAAAAAAAACAGAUUUUGAAAAUGAACCAAAGUACUGUGCUUCUCUUUUGUUCAAGCUGCAGACUUCCAUUGCUGUCGUGUUCUCAUUUCACUUCUCUUCCCUCUUCCAGUAAGUUCUUUACCAGAUUAGGGAAGAAGAAGCUACUGUAACAAUUCUCCACAGAAUCUGUCUGAAAACUAACCAAAGGUAAUGGAGACCAACCUAUCCAGGAAGGGAGUGCUUUCUAAGAAGGUCUUUUGUGUUCCACAUCACUUUACAGCAAAUGAUCUUGAAAUUAAAAAUUGCAGACAGCAUUUUCUCAUUUUUAUUUAGAUCUCCUUCAGAAUCUAAGUUCAGCUAUGCUUCUUGCACACCCUUAUUUUUAAAUAACUUUCUUGUAUAUGCAACUUACACGAUUUAUUUAGGUUUCUGUUUAUGAGCAAUGUAAAAACAGGGGAAUGGGACAUAUUCUGAACUUCUGUCUUCUUCUUUGACUUAUUUAACUGCCAUAACCUAAAUCUUUUGAGCUAGAGAUCACUCUGAUGUCUACUACUUGCCCAAACACACUGCUUUCCCAAGAACGGCCCUUAAGAGCACAGCAGCUGUGCAUGCAGACUUCUCAGGCAGCAUGGAGGUUCAGAUCACAAAGUGGAAGGACUGAAAGAAAUCAGUAUCAAGGCCAUAUUGAUGGAACAAAGACCAUAGCAGCAUCUAUUUCAGCUCCUCUCCGAGGAAACGAGGACUAUUUACAAGCCAGUCCAAAUCCUUCUCAGCCCCUUUGUUUAAAUACUAGAAUUGAUUCAGAAGACAAAAAAUGGUCUGUGUUUGACAGACACAAAUACCAGAGAAGUGAAGCAUGCAAAUAUUCAACACCCUUUUUUUUUAUCAAUAGUCUGAGUUAAAUGCUUAUGUAGCUAGAAAAUGUGACUGCCCAGCUGUAGCUUCAGAGUCUGGCCUUUCAAACCAGCCCUUCCACCCAAGUUAGUUCUAGCUAUGCAUAUUUCUGCUAGAAAGAGAAUGCCUGCCAGUGACAAAUAAAUAGUGUUCAUAUCAACAGUUCAAAGAAGUCCAUGGAGUACACACCCACAAGACAGUAGGUGUACAUUCAAGUAAUAAGCACAUUUUGGGGGAUCAAAAUACAGUUAUGGUCUUUAAGAGGAGCAGAAUGGGAAGACAGGUUUAGAAAUCAGUGUAUAAACAGCCUCAAAUUGGAGAUGCCAAGGUAAAGUUUAUUCUAGGACAAAAUAUUUUAAAAAACAGUGAGUACUCCUUGGGUGACAGAACAAGGCCAUGAGCGUCUUACAGGAAUUUAAUUCAGAAGGUAAUGUGAUAAAGAAAAUACUAUUAUAUUUUUUUUAUAUUCAUUACGUAUGUAAAUAUGCAGUGAAUUUAAAACCCACGGAGAGAAGACUGCAAAUGAAAUAUAAGUGGGAAUACAACUACCACCAGCAUAAUCUAUUUUGGAUCUCUUGCAUGCUUUCAACUCACACACACAUCUUAUUAUUUGCACAUCCUGUCUUUAUUUUCCUAAUAACUCUAAUACAAUAUUACCCUGACAAAUGUAAAUUUAUAUCAAUGUUUUAAAUAUAUUUAGGAAGUAAUUCAAUAAUUUUGUUAAAUCCAGAGCAAUAACAUUAAAGACCAUGUUUUCAUGCUGGUGGUGCUUUAAUAUAAUUUGUCCCAAGCACAAUAAAUCAAAAUAUGUUCUCUGAAAUACCAUACUAAUGUUCUCAAACACAGUAGAUAAAAUGUCUCCUCCCCAACUUUGUAAGUAACCUGUUUUUAUUACUCCUUGCAAAUGCUAAUGAUUUUGUAAAGAACAAUGUAAAAAUACCACUGGCAAAACCAAUUUAAAUAUCACUGCUUACAAAUCUUGUGUUCUAACUACUUCCUGCAAUAAAUGUAUCACAUGAGCAAUAAUAAAUGUUUACAUAGCAACAAAGUGCCUUUGCUAGUGAUCAUCAAACAGCAAGCUGCCACCUGCUUUCAGACCAAAUAAUGCCUGGGCAUUGCAAAAAGUCAUGUGAAGAAUUUAAGUACUCAACUCUCACUUGAGAGUGAGUUAUUUGCUACUUACAGAAAUAGAGCCAGUAUAGUUUUGCAGAACAGGGGAUGAAAAGUUUGACAUUUUUCCAACAGUGUCCCCUACACUGCUCACUGACAUUUAGGUGAUGUUGGAUCUAUACGGAUCUACAAAGAACCAAAAUGAAAUACUGUUACUGAUGAAAAAAAGAUCUCUGUUCUUUUUCUUUGUUCUUCUCUUCUCUUCUCUUCUCUUCUCUUCUCUUCUCUUCUCUUCUCUUCUCUUCUCUUCUCUUCUCUUCUCUUCUCUUCUCUUCUCUUCUCUUCUCUUCUCUUCUCUUCUCUUCUCUUCUCUUCUCUUCUCUUCUCUUCUCUUCUCUUCUCUUCUCUUCUCUUCUCUUCUCUUCUCUUCUCUUCUCUUCUCUUCUCUUCUCUUCUCUUCUCUUCUCUCCUCUCCUCUCCUCUCCUCUCCUCUCCUCUCCUCUCCUCUCCU